GACGAACGCUGGCGGCGUGCCUAACACAUGCAAGUCGAGCGAAGUGACUCAGAGUAAAGUCUUCGGAUAGAGCAAAGAGUCAUCUUAGCGGCGGACGGGUGAGUAACGCGUGAGAAACCUGCCUUUCACAAAGGGAUAGCCUCGGGAAACUGGGAUUAAUACCUUAUGACACUCUUAGAUCGCAUGAUCAUAGAGUUAAAGCGCAAAGCGGUGAAAGAUGGUCUCGCGUCCUAUUAGCUAGUUGGUGAGGUAACGGCUCACCAAGGCUUCGAUAGGUAGCAGGCCUGAGAGGGUGAACGGCCACACUGGAACUGAGACACGGUCCAGACUCCUACGGGAGGCAGCAGUGGGGAAUAUUGCACAAUGGAGGAAACUCUGAUGCAGCGACGCCGCGUGAAUGAUGAAGGCCUUCGGGUUGUAAAGUUCUGUCCUUGGGGAAGAUAAUGACGGUACCCGAGGAGGAAGCCCCGGCUAACUACGUGCCAGCAGUCGCAGUAACAC
rnacentral:rRNA from 1 species